rnacentral:lncRNA from 1 species
UUCAAUCAGGCCCAGAUUUCCCAAAGCCUCAAUGGCCUCAUAUGCCUCAGUUCCAUAGGCAAAUCAGAAUAUAGGUUCAUCAAAGUUCCCUAAGGAUCUCAAGGAUCAUGGGCUUACACCUAGACUUGGUAACUAAAGAUUGAACAAGUGUAGUAUGGAAAGGCCAACCUCGGUAUGCCAGAGCUCAUAGGGUUCUCAAAAGGAUCCCAAUGCAGUACACACACUAGAGGGGGCAGAACAUAUUGACUAAGAGUAUAGUGAAAAGUGAUGAACACAAGUUAGAAGGUUUUUGUAAGAAACUGUAUUUAACAAAAGUCUUUUUUGAAUGUAAUUUAGUAAAGCAACAGAGAUUGUUUUAAAAAAGAGAUUGAAGUAGUUAACAAAGUCCAAAAACCUUAGGCUAGGUUCAUACCCAGCCAGGAGUCAGAGCAUCAAGGCAGGUUUAGUAGUCAUAAUGUCAUGACCCCAGCCCCGGUCGUGAUGGCGCCCAACACACUGCUAGGCAAGCCCGACCAACUAAUAACCUUAACUAUUUCUAUAUAGUUCAUGAUUAAUUAACACAGAUAAAUUACCGAGUCAUAAUAUUGGAAAUCUAAAAUAGAGAUAAAACAUGCGGAAUCCCAAAUAACAAUACUACUACAUAGCCCGAAGAAUCCGAUGUCACAAGUCUGAGCCUCUAAUACAUGAGUAUCAACCUACUAUAUAUCGUUCUAAAAAAGUAUGGAAUGAAGCAAUAAGAUAAAGGGAAGAUCAGGGUUGCGAACUUCAUGAACCUACCUUGAUGCUCCCGGAUACGUACUGCCUAGUUGGAAGUCCUCAACAGUCUAAGAUGCACUUGGAUCUGCACGCAAGGUGCAGGAGUAAUGUAAGUACUCCGACCCAGUGAGUAAUAAACAUAAAUAAAGGCUGAGAGUAAAAAAUCAUGAAUAGACACACUGUAAUCUAUAUUACAACAGUUUAAACUAAGUAUUAUGAAAUUAGUAAACCAAUGAAAAUGAAAUAUGGAAAUAUUACAACAGAUAAUCAAAUGAAUGACAGUCAAAUAAAGAAAUGCAACACAUAGUGCGGUACCCUCUAGUACCCGCUGCGGUGUACGGACCGAUCCAUUUAUUUAUCAUCGACAGCGCUCACUAGGGGUGUGCAGACUCCGGAAGAGGCCCCUUAAGGUCCAAGCGCAAUAUCAAUCCAUCUCGUGGAAUCAACUAGUCCCUCGGCCUCAUAUGAAUAUCAAUAUAACACUAUUGCAGCGUGUAACCCAAUCCCAUACUCAGUCCAGAAUCACAAAAGCCCCUCAGGCAAUAAUAAAAUAGUAGUUCCUAGCCCAAAACAUCAUUAGAAAUGUCACUUAAGUUUCAAAUCUGAGUAAAUGUGGCUGAGUUUGCAAAACAAUGUUAAACAAUAGGACCGUGUUCAAGUAAUAUGUAAAUAUAAUGAGGAAACACUAAUAACAACCCUCGAAGGGUCCGAAUAGUUAACACAAAACGCAUAUAUGACAAUUAAUCCAAAUAAUGAUGAUAUCAAAGAAGUUUCAAUCAAAUACACAAUAAAAACAACCCUCGAGACGGACCAAGUCACAAUCCUCAAUAGUAAACGAACCCGCACUCAUCAUCAAGUGCGUGUCUCACCUCAAUAUAGCACUACGAUGUGCAAAUCCGGGGUUUUAAACCCUCGGGACAUCAUUCACAUUCAUUACUCACCUCAAGCCGGCCAAAACUCUAGCUCGUUAUGCCCUUGCCUCUCAAAUCAGACUCCUCGCACGUUGAAUCUGAUCAAAACCACAACGAAUAUAUCACAAUAUGCUAAGGGAAAAAAACCCAAUCGAAAACAAUCAAAAAAUAUUAAAAUUCCAAAAUUAGCAAAACCUUAGCCCCGACCCACUUCUCGAAAUUCAGAAAUUUUCACAUCAACGGGUUCCUUAUCUCGCCACGAGUCCAUACAUAUCAAGAACUCUCAAAUCUGACCUCAAAUGACCCUUCAAAUCCCAAUUUAAAAUCUCAAAAUCCCAAGCCCUAGAUCUUCCAGUUUUAGUUAAGUUUCCAUGAAUUUAUAAGUUAAUUUCACAUAAUAAUCACAUUUUUAGUUCAUAGGACUUACCUCCAAUCAAUUCCCUUCGAAUCCCUCUUCAAUUUCUCCCAAAGAGCUCUCAAAAUGUCCAACAGUGGUGGAAAUAUGACUUAGACUCGCGAAGGAAAUGUUUUAAAACAUUCUGCCCAGAUCAUGUAGCCCCUUCGUCGCGAUCGCACUCGCGACCUCAUCCCCGCGAUCGCGAAUCACCUUUUAUUUUAUUUUUCUCAGAAAUUACCUUAUGCGAACGCGAGUCCUCCCCCGCGAAUGCGAUGCUUUGACUCCUCAAGCUACGCGAACGCGUCUCGAUUCACGCGAACACGAAGAACACUUGCCUCGGGAUUUCCAAACCUUAUACGCGAAUGCGGCCUGUCUUCCAAGAAUGCGAAGCACAAGCAGCUCCCAAUCCGCGAAUGCGGUCCCUUAGUCGCGAACGCGAAGCACAAACUUUGACCUAUUCCAAAUCCUUCUACGCGAUCGUGAUGACCAAAAUCCUUUACAAUAGCUACUGCAAUUUCUACUACAUUUACAAAUCCAAAACUUACUGUUUAGCCAUCCGAAAUUACCCCGAGUCACCCGGGACCACAACAAAAAGUACCAACACCCCCUAAAACAUCAUUCAAACUUGUUCCAAUCAACAAAACACAUCAAACAACACCAAAACCAUCAAUUACAUCAAAUUCAAGCCUAAGUUUUUCAGAAACUUUUGAAACACGCAUUCGACAAAAAACCCAACCAGAAUGACCUGAGAUUUUGCACACACAUCCCAAAUCAUAUAACAAAGCUACAAAAACUCUUGAAAUUCCAUUCCAGCCCUCGGAUCAAAAUCACACCUAUUAACCGGAAUUUGCCAAAAUAUUAACUUCACCAAUUCAAGACUAAUUCUACAUCGGACCUCGAAAAUCACUUACGAUCACACUCCUAAGACACAAUUCACCUCCCAAAGCUAACUAAACAAUUGAAAUUCGCAUCCGAUCCAUGUAACUCAUAAGCCAACAUCCGAUUGAAUUUUUCCAACUUAAACCUUCUUAAAAGAGACUAAAUAUCGCAUUUCCUACUGAACCCACUCCAAACCAACCCGAUCACACAAGACACUGAUAAUGAAGCAUAAAGAAGGAAAAAGUGGGGGAAACGGAGCGGUAACUCAUGAGAUGAUGGGUCGCGUCGUCACACACAAAUAUGGGUAAAGGGGGUUUGGAAAAAAACAUAGGACACACAUAGUUAAGCAAAGACCUGGAAAUUAGUAGUCAUGCCCAGAAGUAGCUAACUAGACAUAGUCACAGAAUCAUACAUAAUGAAUAGACUCACAUGCAAGGGGAUAUGGAUUUAGGAGAUCCAUGGUGUUAAACAUAUAACAAGUAAGGGAUGAUUAUUAUAGGCAUGCUCAGAGAUAAACAGAAGGAGGAAUAUUCUGAUCUCAAGGGGAGGGGAAGACAUGAUAACAUGCUAAUAAUAUAACCCUUAACUACAAGUUUCACAACAGAACCACAAAUAGAAGCAAAUCAGAAACAAGAGGAAUUGAAACAAUAAGAGAAUCAUAUUGUUGUUGGAACUUUGAAUUGAAACUAGGACAUACCAGUGAAGAGGAUAGUAAGUAGAGUGAAAGAACAAGAAAACACAAAUGGUUAACCUUGGCUUGCAACCGUCUAUCUUAGAGCAGUAGCAAGUAGCACAAGAGAGAGAGCGAAAAAUUAUAAGAAUGAGAGAUAGUUUUGAACCAAGUGUUCGUGUUUGUGUGUGUUAAUGAGAGAGACUAUAUAUUGUCCGAAACUAGGCAGAGUAAUAAGGUAAGAAUCAAAGUCAAGCAGUAGUUAUGGAACUAAGUAUCAAUUAGUAUAAAAUUAGUAGAAGUACUCCCUUAAUUAAGGGAGUUAAUUUCAAACGGUAAAGACAGAUAAGGAAAGAGAUCACAGAAGACAUGGACUAUAACACAUAAGAAAAUAAUUUCAGCAUAGUGCAAGUAUAGAACAUGCAAUUAAGGCCAGGUACAUAAUAUUCCAAUUAAGGAAAUAACAUAAGAGUCAGUUGACAGCAUAAUCGACCAAAAAAUAAGGCAAUAAAAAUGACUGAGAGGUUGAAAAUCAGUAUAGAAUAUCAAUAGAUAUUAGAAGGAUAUCAAUCAUAGGGAAUCAAGAAUUUCGAUGGACAAUAUUACUAAUUUUAGGGUAAAUUACCAUAAAUUUCUAUGAACAAAUAGAAUAAACACACAAUAGGAUAGAAGAGGUAAAAUCAAAAACCUUUAAUAUCACAGUGAGGUAAAAAUCAAGCAAAAUUAGGGAUUCGUAUAGAAUAUAGCACUAAUUAGAGGAGUUAAUAGAAUAAACAUAGUAUAGGCGGAAGAAGCAGAAAUUAAAAACCCUAAUGGGCAUAGUAUGGUAAAAAUCACACAAGACUCAGGGAUUCAUGAGACAAGCAACAUAUAGAUUAGACGAAUAAAUUGUCAAACACAGACUCAGAAUCCAGGGUCAAAACCAAGAACUGGUUUUCAACAUAGACGAGUUGAAAAAGGAGAAAACCCAAAGAACCAAUCGACAUAUUCAAAGGGAAGAGGUUUAAACACGAAGAUCGAUUUAAAUAGAGUGCAGAAAAGUUCCGUAGACACUAACUUUUAAAGGAAAGUAAAACAACUCGCAAUCGAUGAUUUUUUGCAAAAGAGGUUUGAGAAUAGUAUAAAACAUAGAAAGAAAUAGACUCGAAUAGUUAAAAAUAGCACAGAUCUAAGAGAUACAAACAAAAGUUAGGGUUUCAAAGGCAGCCCAAAUAGAAAUGGAAGAACCUGCUAUAAACUUCAAAGAUCGUAGCAAAUGUAGAGUGAUUUCGCUCAAAAUCACACUAGAGAAGCCAUGAAUAGACAAAAUAGUAACCCUAGAUACAAGUCGGCAUGGCCCAGGGCCCUUAAAGGCCUCAGAGAUAAUGAGCAAGGUGAUGGGAGAACUAUUGUGCUGAAAGGUGGUCAUCGGAAAGGACCAGAGAAGGAGGGGGUGUUUGAAGAGGGAUUAGGGUUAGGUUGAGAGAAGAGAGGAGACCAUAGGAUCCAAAGGUGGAGAAGGUUUGGAAAUAAGGUAGAGUUAGGUGGUAUUUUGAAUUAAAAAAGAAAAUGGCUCGAACGGACCAUUGAUCUAGGAGAUCAACGGUCAGGAUUUGAUCGGGUAUAUGGGUUUCGGGUUUGGGUAGGUGUAUAUAGUUUCUGGGUCGGGUUAAUUGAAUAUGAAUUUGGACUGGGGAAUGGGUUCAAUUUGGGCCAUAAUUGAAAGCCAAAUCUGGCUAUAAUUUAAAUAGCUAUGUUUUCCUACCUAAUUUAUAAUAAAUAAUAAAUAGUUUUUUGAAAAUAAUUUUCAAUACCAAAAUGAUUUAAAAUAUUUAAUUGUAAUUUUAAAAAUAUAGGGACCAAUUUUAUGCAUAUAAAAUGUAAC